ensembl:lncRNA
AUUGAAGCCGUCGAGCGGUCUGCACCGAUAGAAAAACAAGUUCUCGAGGCCCCACCUCUUAAAUCCGUAAUACUCUACUGGCUGUUGUUCCUGUAAUAGCUGUUGUGCUACGGAAACUCAACUAAACAUUCUAUCUGGCGAGAAAACUGUUUGUUUUUGGUAGAAGGAGCGGACUGUCGCACUAUGGUCUGACUGCUGAUCAAAGCAUUUGGACGGUGAGGAAGAUUCGGGCUAGCAUUGCUGAGAGAGAGCAAAAGCAAGAGCCCAUCUUCACACCAUGUUCUGCUGUUGGCAUUAAGAAAGAGCAGAUGACAACUGCGGCCAUACUGACCCCUGACUUUGAGGAUGACAUUGCUUCUGGUGGUCCAAUGUCACAAUCAGGGACAACAGUGCAAAAGUGCGGUUCCUGAGGUUAAAGGUCACACUGGGUAACUGGCUGGGACUAAUGAACAUGAAACAUAAAGCAAUUAUUCAAUCUAAAUACAUAAACAAUACAUUUUAAAUGAUAAAUGAUAUAAGCCAAGUUUCAGAACACAGGUGUUCUGGUAUUCUCUUAAGAAAAGGUAUAUAUUAAGUAUUUUAUAUCAAAACAUUAUUACAGGCCUCCAAUGCAGUAUGUUCCUUUCAUGCAGUUCCAGCCCAUCCAGUGGGCCCAGACACAGUGGUUAAACUAUUAAGCGGAAAAACCUGCUGUAACUGCCAUUCACACAAGUCUCUGUCCCUGUGAGGAUCAUGUGAAGUGAGUCUUCUCAGACUAGUGUUGAAUCCAGUGGGUCCAAUUGACCUCGGAUCCCAGAUGAUCCUUGUGGCUUCAGGCCUUAUGAAGGCCUUCUCACUAACCCCUCUGACCAGGGAUUGGGAUGGCCCGAUGCCCCUCCUGUUGUUACACUAUUUGAACAGAAAAGUGUCAAUAAAUGCAGAAAACUGAUUGACAUCUGUCUUUUAUUGUGAUCAAUGAUUAUCUUUAUUGUUCCAGUUGAGAAAUGUGUACUGCAUAACUUGUUCAACAAUAAAAAGAAAGUAACAGACAUCCAAACAACAUACACACAAAGGACACAAAUAAUGAACUGAGUAAAAAUAAUGCAACAUGUGAAAUGCUGGUCUCAUGUUUUAUGAGCAGUAAUAAAUGAACCCAGAAAUAUUCCAUAUUCACAAAAAGGUUUUUCCCAGUCUUGAUUAAACUAUGGAUUAGGGAAAAUCAAAAAAUCUGUUUAAUUGAUUUUCUUAUGAACUGUUACUCAUUAAAAUUGUUGAAAUAUUUAUUACAUUCAUAUUUUUGUUCAGUAUAUCUUUGGUUGCAGUCUUA